GCCCGGAUAGCUCAGUCGGUAGAGCAGGGGAUUGAAAAUCCCCGUGUCCUUGGUUCGAUUCCGAGUCCGGGCACUA
rnacentral:tRNA from 1 species